AUUGAACGCUGGCGGCAGGCCUAACACAUGCAAGUCGAACGGUAACAGGAAGAAGCUUGCUUCUUUGCUGACGAGUGGCGGACGGGUGAGUAAUGUCUGGGAAACUGCCUGAUGGAGGGGGAUAACUACUGGAAACGGUAGCUAAUACCGCAUAACGUCGCAAGACCAAAGAGGGGGACCUUCGGGCCCCUUGCCAUCGGAUGUGCCCAGAUGGGAUUAGCUUGUUGGUGGGGUAACGGCUCACCAAGGCGACGAUCCCUAGCUGGUCUGAGAGGAUGACCAGCCACACUGGAACUGAGACACGGUCCAGACUCCUACGGGAGGCAGCAGUGGGGAAUAUUGCACAAUGGGCGCAAGCCUGAUGCAGCCAUGCCGCGUGUAUGAAGAAGGCCUUCGGGUUGUAAAGUACUUUCAGCGGGGAGGAAGGGAGUAAAGUUAAUACCUUUGCUCAUUGACGUUACCCGCAGAAGAAGCACCGGCUAACUCCGUG
rnacentral:rRNA from 1 species